rnacentral:rRNA from 1 species
UGCGUAGGCGGCUUUCUAAGUUGGAUGUGAAAACUCUGGGCUCAACCCAGAGCCUGCAUCCAAAACUGGAGAGCUUGGGUUCUGGAGGGGAAAGCGGAAUUCCUGGUGUAGCGGUGAAAUGCGUAGAUAUCAGGAGGAACACCGGUGGCGAAGGCGGCUUUCUGGACAGAUACCGACGCUGAGGCACGAAAGCUAGGGGAGCAAACA